GACGAACGCUGGCGGCGUGCUUAACACAUGCAAGUCGAACGGAAAGGCCCUGCUUUUGUGGGGUGCUCGAGUGGCGAACGGGUGAGUAACACGUGAGUAACCUGCCCUUGACUUUGGGAUAACUUCAGGAAAAUGGGGCUAUUACCGGAUAGGAGCUCCUGCCGCGUGGUGGGGGUUGGAAAGUUUCGGCGGUUGGGGCUGGACUCGCGGCUUAUCAGCUGGUUUGUGGGGUAGUGGAUUACACAGGGUUUGACGGGUAGGCGGCCUUGGAGCGUGACCGGCCACAUGGGGACUGAGAGACGGACCAGACUCCUACGGGAGGCAGCAGUGGGAAGUAUUGCACAAUGGGCGGAAGCCUGAUGCGGCAACGCCGCGUGCGUGAUGACGGCCUUCGGGUUGUAAACCGCUUUCGCCUGUGACGAAGCGUGAUUGACGGUAAUGGGUAAAGAAGCACCGGCUAACUACGUG
rnacentral:rRNA from 1 species